rnacentral:rRNA from 1 species
AUCUCUCUUGGAGAUGGAAAUGAGGCCAAAUUCUGGGUGGACAACUGGCUACCGGGUGGGCACUCGAUCGCCACCACUGCGCCAGCCCUGUUUUCUUAUGUGAGGGACAAAGGCAGGUCUGUCAGAGAGGCACUGCAAAACAGCUCAUGGGUUCGGGAUAUACAUGGCGGACUCUCAUCACAGGCAUUGGCCCAAUAUCUUUCGGUCUGGGACAUCGCGUAGUCUACGGCACUAACCCCUGGCAUGAGGGAUACCCCAAGAUGGAGGAGGACGGACGAUGGUGUCUUCUCGGUUGGAUCGGCUUACAGGAUGUUUUUCUUGGCCAGUAUACGCUUUGCCUGUGCCAAGCCAAUCUGGAAAUCAAAAGCACCGCCCAGAUGCAAGUUCUUUAUGUGGUUAGCAGUACAUUAG